UACGUAGGGCGCAAGCGUUAUCCGGAAUUAUUGGGCGUAAAGAGCUCGUAGGCGGUUUGUCGCGUCUGCUGUGAAAACUGGAGGCUCAACCUCCAGCCUGCAGUGGGUACGGGCAGACUAGAGUGCGGUAGGGGAGAUUGGAAUUCCUGGUGUAGCGGUGGAAUGCGCAGAUAUCAGGAGGAACACCAAUGGCGAAGGCAGAUCUCUGGGCCGUAACUGACGCUGAGGAGCGAAAGCGUGGGGAGCAAACAGG
rnacentral:rRNA from 1 species